GUGCAGCCGUGCAGCACACACGAGAGCAGGAACGCACCCGUGGCCGCUUCCGCAGAACAGCGCAGAUGGUUUGCAAAUUCAUGAAGAGGAUUCAGGAGGAAGAGAGCAGCGUCGUGGGCACUGUGGUCAGAGCGUACUCUCCCAUCUUCAAAACCAAGACCAGUGCUGCCCUGCUGGAUAUGCUUGUGGAGGAGGGUCCUUCCAGCCCAAAGCAAGUGAGCAGCCUGUGGCCUGGCUUUUCUCCUCCCAGCAGUUGCGUGGCCUCCCAAGCCACGCCUGCUGCUCCCUGGAAGCCUUUGAGGCCAUGGCAGUGUGGUGGCAAGGGAAGCACUUCUCUGGGGCAGCUGGGCACAUUCCUUCCUCUGGCAGCUUUCCAAGUCUCCCCUGCCUUCUCCAGGUGCCCACCAUGGUGAGGUACAUCCACCAGUGGCUGGUGGCCAAUGAGUUUCCUGAGUACAAUCUGUACAGGCCCCUUCUGGAUCUGACAGAGGCACAGCCCUCUGACGUGGUGAUGGCUCUCCUGCGUGUGGCCCCAGUGUGUGACAGAGCUGCUUUAGCCAUGUGGAAGAGCAUCAUGUGCUCGCCCAGGACUGCAGAGCCGGCCAUGCUCGUACUCCUCGAUGUGCUGGGGAGCUGGCCAGAGCACAGCACGUGCACCUCCGAUGGGGACCACACGGCUGUCCUUGCCCUGGCUGUGAGUUUCUGCCUUUGCUGGCCCCAAGGCCACCCCUCCAGCAGCUCUCCAUCCUCCCUCCCCCACGGCGUCUCCCUGCCUCAGGCGCUGGGCUGAAACCUGGCCUCGGGACAGCUUCAGGGCCACCAGGCCCGGUGCUCCCCCUUCGGUGCUCCCCCUUCGUCUCUCCGGGCCUCUCCCUCCCGUACUGGGCCCUGCCACACGGACACCUCGGCACUGAGCGCUGUCUCGGGCUGCUCUGUCCUUUGCAGGCAACCGUGGUGAUGUGGAAGAUCCUCCAGCUGCCCUGUGUGCCACAUGUAGUCACCGUGUGUUUCCCCUGCCUCUUUGUGCAUCUGCUCUUCCAAGUGCUCUUCAGCACUCUGGAUAUGCCAGAGGAGGUCGAUACCUUCUGGAAGGGAUGCCAGCAGCAACACGGCCUUGCCACCAACCCCAGCAGGUGCUCCAUGCCAGUCCUCCUGUCCUUGCCACAUCCCUGGGCAGGGGCCAGUGCUCCCAGCGUGACUUGGGUUUGCUCUGCACACAGGUUUGCAGAGCAGACCCUGAAGGCCCUGCUCUGCCGACUGCACUAUGAGGAUGUGGUGGUGGCCAUGGAAGACAAGGGUGGCUGGGACACACUGCUCGGUGCUGACACCCACCACUGUGCUGUGGGCGUGCUGGCCAGAGAAAUGCACCGCGCAUCCGAAGCCGUGUGUUCCGCGAUUGCAUUCCAGCUGCUCGGGCUGCUCAGCAAAGACACGCCAUGCCGGGAUUUGGCCGCCCUGGCGUUCCUUGUGGAGAUCCUGGAGCGCCUGAACCUGAGUGAAUGCCGUGACAGCGUCCUGGAGUUCUUGUCAAAGAACCUGCAGAGCGAGUGCAGGGGGAGGCGUCGCUUGGCACUCAGAGGCCUCGUGGUGCUCGGCACCACCAGUGCCUCGAUGGCCAGAAGGAUGUGGAGCCUGCAUGAAAGGCUCGUGGAGCUCCUGCAGGAAAAGGACAGCGUCAUGCUCAGGAUGACCGCGGUUCUCCUCAGAGCUGUAUUUCUCUGCAAAGAGGCCCCAAUGACCAGCACCCUCGCCCUGCAGCUGGCUGAGGCGCUCCUGCCACUCUUUGACAACGAGGAUAGCCAGGUGCAGUUGAGCUCCAUGUUUAUCUUCCGAGACAUGCUGGAUCAUUUUCCGGAAGAGGAAAAAAAGGCCCUGAAGGCACACGUGCGCCAGAGCCUGCUGCCACUCUCCUUCCACUGCCAUGAUGAGAACCAGGGAGUGGCAGAGGUGAGGACUCGGCAGCUGCUGCUGUUCCCCUGGCAGGGGCUGGGCUGCCUCCUGCCCUGGCACCUCGCAGGCUGCAGCCUCCUGCUGGCCUUGGCACAGGGACGGGUCCUGUGCCCUGGGCUGUGGGGCCAUCUCCGCGUCUCUGCUGCUCUCCAGGCUUCUCAGGAAACGCUGCUUUGUGCGGCCGAGUUCCUGAAGCAGAGGGAUCUUGAAAAGCUGGUGAAGAACCAGAAGCUGUGGAAUUUCACCGAGUGCCUGCUGGCAGAGGACAGCAGCAGCGCGGCCGAGCACCUGCGCCGGGCCCUGCCCUACCUGCAGAGCCCACAGGAGCCCCUGCGAGAGGCGGCCGUCAGGUUCAUGGGUGAGC
rnacentral:lncRNA from 1 species